GGGAAACUGCCUGAUGGAGGGGGAUAACUACUGGAAACGGUAGCUAAUACCGCAUAACGUCGCAAGACCAAAGAGGGGGACCUUCGGGCCUCUUGCCAUCAGAUGUGCCCAGAUGGGAUUAGCUAGUAGGUGGGGUAACGGCUCACCUAGGCGACGAUCCCUAGCUGGUCUGAGAGGAUGACCAGCCACACUGGAACUGAGACACGGUCCAGACUCCUACGGGAGGCAGCAGUGGGGAAUAUUGCACAAUGGGCGCAAGCCUGAUGCAGCCAUGCCGCGUGUAUGAAGAAGGCCUUCGGGUUGUAAAGUACUUUCAGCGGGGAGGAAGGUGUUGAGGUUAAUAACCUCAGCAAUUGACGUUACCCGCAGAAGAAGCACCGGCUAACUCCGUGCCAGCAGCCGCGGUAAUACGGAGGGUGCAAGCGUUAAUCGGAAUUACUGGGCGUAAAGCGCACGCAGGCGGUCUGUCAAGUCGGAUGUGAAAUCCCCGGGCUCAACCUGGGAACUGCAUUCGAAACUGGCAGGCUGGAGUCUUGUAGAGGGGGGUAGAAUUCCAGGU
rnacentral:rRNA from 1 species